rnacentral:rRNA from 1 species
AGAGUUUGAUCCUGGCUCAGGAUGAACGCUGGCGGCGCGCCUAACACAUGCAAGUCGUACGGCACCCCUCCUCGGAGGGAAGCGAGUGGCGAACGGCUGAGUAACACGUGGAGAACCUGCCCCCUCCUCGGGGAUAGCCGCGGGAAACCGCGGGUAACACCCGACGACCCCGGAGCCGCGCAUGCGGCGCCGGGCAAAUCUCCGGAGGGAGGGGAUGGCUCCGCGGCCCAUCAGGUAGACGGCGGGGUGACGGCCCACCGUGCCGACAACGGGUAGCCGGGUUGAGAGACCGACCGGCCAGAUUGGGACUGAGACACGGCCCAGACUCCUACGGGAGGCAGCAGUGGGGAAUCUUGCGCAAUGGGGGCAACCCUGACGCAGCGACGCCGCGUGCGGGACGAAGGCCUUCGGGUCGUAAACCGCUUUCAGCAGGGACGAGUCAAGACGGUACCUACAGAAGAAGCCCCGGCUAACUACGUGCCAGCAGCCGCGGUAAUACGUAGGGGGCGAGCGUUAUCCGGAUUCAUUGGGCGUAAAGCGCGCGUAGGCGGCCGCGUAGGCGGGGGGUCAAAUCCCGGGGCUCAACCCCGGUCCGCCCCCCGAACCCCGCGGCUCGGGUCCGGUAGGGGAGGGUGGAAUUCCCGGUGUAGCGGUGGAAUGCGCAGAUAUCGGGAGGAACACCGGUGGCGAAGGCGGCCCUCUGGGCCGAGACCGACGCUGAGGCGCGAAAGCUGGGGGAGCGAACAGGAUUAGAUACCCUGGUAGUCCCAGCCGUAAACAAUGGACGCUAGGUGUGGGGGG